AGUGAACGCUGGCGGUAGGCCUAACACAUGCAAGUCGAACGGUAGCACAGUAAGAGCUUGCUCUUACGGGUGGCGAGUGGCGGACGGGUGAGGAAUACAUCGGAAUCUACUUUUUCGUGGGGGAUAACGUAGGGAAACUUACGCUAAUACCGCAUACGACCUACGGGUGAAAGCAGGGGAUCUUCGGACCUUGCGCGAUUGAAUGAGCCGAUGUCGGAUUAGCUAGUUGGCGGGGUAAAGGCCCACCAAGGCGACGAUCCGUAGCUGGUCUGAGAGGAUGAUCAGCCACACUGGAACUGAGACACGGUCCAGACUCCUACGGGAGGCAGCAAUGGGGAAUAUUGGACAAUGGGCGCAAGCCUGAUCCAGCCAUACCGCGUGGGUGAAGAAGGCCUUCGGGUUGUAAAGCCCUUUUGUUGGGAAAGAAAAGCAGCAGGUUAAUACCCCGCUGUUCUGACGGUACCCAAAGAAUAAGCACCGGCUAACUUCGUG
rnacentral:rRNA from 1 species